rnacentral:lncRNA from 1 species
UACAAUCUAGUAGGUAUUUACUAGUUUGCUAAUUAGUAUGAGAACCAACAAAAUAUAAACCAAUAGAAUCAAAAAAGUGAAACUAGGAAUUCCAACGUUCUUGAGAUAUUGAUGAUGUGGCAAUUGACUAUUGGUCGAUGGACAAAAAAUAUUGUUGAAGUUGAAAAAUUUUGUUCCACAAUUUUGGUUGUUCAAAUUUUACAAAGAUGGGG